UAUAUGUGUGUGUGUGUGUGUGUGUGUGUGUCUAUAUAUAUUAUCAUGUCAGUUAUUUGACUGCAUGUAAAUAGGGGACUAAGAAAUACAAAUAAGUCUGAACCAGGAAAAGAGAAACAAAAUUUCCCUCUGUCUUUUUUUCAUUGUCACUGUUCAACCUGCGCACCAUCUGUACAGCUGAUUAAUUUCUUUUGUUGCUGUACAUUGUGCUUUUCUGGCCCUUACUUAGUUUUUUCCCCCCUCUGUUAGAUAACUCCUCCACCUCCAACGCUGAAAACAGAAAUAGGUAUUGAAUAAUCGUUGUUAACCUUGUCUGCCUCUCUCUUUCUUAGUAACCCUGCCUCAGGGAGGGAGGGAGGGAAUGAGUGAGCACUGACCAAUCAGAGAACACAAUGCUUUUGUUUGUCUAUCUCUAUAAAAGGUUUGGCUGUGCAGUUUGUAUUCUGGCCGAUCCUAAAGCUUCAUCAUGUAUUUCUAUUGAAGCUUUCAAUAAAAUGUUGUGUUUGUGUAAAAU